AACGAACGCUGGCGGCAUGCCUUACACAUGCAAGUCGAACGGUAACACGUCUUCAGUUGCUGUCGCGUGGCGGCCGGGCGAGUAAUACAUCCGAACGUGCCCGAUCGUGGGGGAUAACGAAGCGAACGCUUUACUGAUACCGCAUACGAUCUACGGAUGAAAUCGGCGGAUCUUCGGACCUCGCGCGGCCGGCCCGGCCGAUGGCACCUUCGGUAGUUGGUGGGAUAAAAGCUUACCAAGCCGACGAUCUGUAGCUGAUCUGAGAGGAUGAUCAGCCACACUGGGAGUGGGACACGGCCAAGACUCCUGCGGGAGGCCGCAGUCGGGAAUUUUGGACAAUGGGCGAAAGCCUGAUACAGCCAUGGGGAGUGCAGGAUGAAGGCCCCCGGGUUGUAAACUGCUUUUGUACGGAACGAACCGCGUCCUUCUAAUAAAGAGGGGUCAUGACGGUACCGUAAGAAUAAGCACCGGCUAACUACGUG
rnacentral:rRNA from 1 species